rnacentral:rRNA from 1 species
GACAGAGGCCUCGAGCGUUAGGCGGAAUCACUGGGCUUAAAGCGUGUGUAGGCGGAUGCCUAAGUACCUUGUGAAAUCCCACGGCUCACCCGUGGAACCGCUGGGUAUACUGGGCAUCUUGGGCCAUUCAGGGGCAACUGGAACAAGCGGUGGAGCGGUGAAAUGCGUAGAUAUCAGGAGGAACACCGGUGGCGAAGGCGGGUCUCUGGGCCGAAACUGACGCUGAGGAGCGAAAGCGUGGGGAGCGAACAGG